UACUCCCCCGGGAAGGGAGCCAUCUGGUGCCUGUCUUUCCUGGAGGGCGCGAAAGGGAACUCGGGGCUCCCCGCGCCCCGCAGCAGGGCCCGGCGGUCCACGCGCGAAGCCAGGCGGGGCCGCGGCGCGGGUCCGAGCGCCCGAGGCGCGGGCGGAGCAUGUGACCACGCCGCGCGGGGCCGGGAGCGCAGUGCCGCGCGCUGGCGGCGGCGGGGAGAGCAAUGGAGGCCGCGGCCGCCUGAGAGGCGGGUGCGCUGCCGGUGCUGCUGAGGAGUCUGCUGGUGCUGCGGCAGCGCCGCGGGCUGUGCAUCCGCGCCCGCCGCCCGCGCGGGAUCGCUCGUCGCCGUCCAGCCCCUCUGCCAGCCCCGGCUCCAGGCGGGGACCUCAGUUCACAAGAGCAGUGAUUCCCAGGCUUUCUCAACAAUGUACUCUAUUUCCUGGCACAUGUACCACUGAGGGUGAAGUCUCCUUUUUACAAGAAGCAAAUUUUGGAGGAGAGCUCUCUAACAAGGAAAGGCCGUGUGGCUAUUCAGAGAGGUAAG